rnacentral:pre_miRNA from 1 species
UUAACUCAAAUUUGUAUGUAGCUGGAACAGCGCCCCUAGCGGCAUACGUAGGCAAACGUUCCAACUCCGUACAAAUUUGAGUUA